rnacentral:rRNA from 1 species
GACGAACGCUGGCGGCGUGCUUAACACAUGCAAGUCGAACGGAAAGGCCCUGCUUUUGUGGGGUGCUCGAGUGGCGAACGGGUGAGUAACACGUGAGUAACCUGCCCUUGACUUUGGGAUAACUUCAGGAAACUGGGGCUAAUACCGGAUAGGAGCUCCUGCUGCAUGGUGGGGGUUGGAAAGUUUCGGCGGCUGGGGAUGGACUCGCGGCUUAUCAGCUUGUUGGUGGGGUAGUGGCUUACCAAGGCUUUGACGGGUAGCCGGCCUGAGAGGGUGACCGGCCACAUUGGGACUGAGAUACGGCCCAGACUCCUGCGGGAGGCAGCAGUGGGGAAUAUUGCACAAUGGGCGGAAGCCUGAUGCAGCAACGCCGCGUGCGGGAUGACGGCCUUCGGGUUGUAAACCGCUUUCGCCUGUGACGAAGCGUGAGUGACGGUAAUGGGUAAAGAAGCACCGGCUAACUACGUG